GUUUUGUACUUAAGUAAUUGUCCAUUAACCUGGCAACCCUUUUCCCCCCUUUUUUGCACCUUAUUCCUUAAAGGUUUGAGCCAUAACUCCCAAAGACAAUUCUUACCAUCCCUUUGUGGUAUUCCAAUAUCCAAAAUCUAAAUACAUGGUUAGAUUCAUCAUAUCAAAGAACCCCAAGAAUUCAAUUUUUGAUGAAAUCAAAUGAAGUUCAAUUUUGGACCCUUU
rnacentral:lncRNA from 1 species